CGGGGGGCCGUGCGGGCCCGGCACGGGGAAGGCGGCAGCCCCGGGCGCUUUGGGACCCCACGGGCGGCUGUGAGGCCUCCCAGAGGUGGCCGGUGCAGCUAAUCCAGCCCCCCGAGUACUAGUCCCAGUGGAACGUGAUGGGAGCUUUGCCUGGCAAGGAAUUACUCUGUCCAGUACUGGGUUCUUCAGUACAAGAAAGAAAAGGAGCUACUGGAGAAGGUUCAGAGGAGAGCCAUAAAGAUGAUUAGAGGUCUGGAACAUCUCUCUUAUGAGGAGAAACUACAGGACCUGAGCCUGAAUUGUCUAGAGAUGAGAAGACUGAGAGAGGAUCUCAUCAAUGGCCUAUAAGUAUCUCAAAGGUAGCAAGAAAUUCAAGCACGUGUUGUCUCAGGCAAAUAAAGUAACCUUACAAAUUGCAUUUGAAGGAUUAGUGUCACCUUUGAUGUACCUGGAUCCAGCUCACUACAACCAUCUCACAAAAAGGACCCACUUGUGCAAGAGAGUGCUAACUCUCUGACAUUACCUGUAUGCACUAAAGAAAAGAUCUCUGACUUCAACACACUUGAGAAAAGGAAGUUUUGGACAAGACAUGCUAGAUGGUGGAAACCUCCUAAAUUAAAGCAUUAGGAAGUCAGAAAGGGACUGAACCAUGCUUUUGUGUUCUCUCUCUUUCAGUUCUGAUCUUUUUUUCAUAGAAGUUCAAUAUUCUUGAGAGAAAAUAUGUUGAGAUAAAUUUAUCAUAAUGCCAUGAUCAACAGGAACCUUCAGCUAACAGCAGUCAGCCUACAUGGCUGGAAAAUAUGUAAUUUAUUUAUCACCUCUACCCAGAAAGCUUUCUAGCAAGAACAUGUAAU